CACUGUCUCCUGCAGCCUGAGGACUGCGCUGCUAUUGCAGAUGGAGGAGCUGUGUCAAUGACACGGAAGCUGCCUCUUGUAGAGAGAGAUGGCACUGGCUGCAGCUAGGGGGAGCUCCAGAGCACAGCUCCUCCCGGGCCCUUAGUAAGCCAGCCGAGGGAAGCUCAGAACUCUCUGCUCCUCCAUGCUCUGGAUGAUAGCCAAAGACAGCUGAAUCCCGCCCUGCCCGUUUUUGUGCGCCCUGCCGCCCCGCCGUUUGCUGCCUGCCGGACCCCGCCACGUCGCCGGAUCCAGCCGUGCGCCGCCGGACCCGUUUCAGAGAAGCUGCGAGGGACCUCAGGGUAGUUCUCUGCCUCUGAUUAAGUCAGUAAUGUCCUUUUUGAUACUGAAGGCAACACAAAUUCGCAAAGCUGACAAGGCAGGAAGAACCUGCCAGCAUCUCUAUGGAGAACAGAGAGAAGUGUUGCGUUAUUACUGCUUCCAAGUCAAUAUUCCAUAAAGAAAGCUCUCUCUACGAAUUAAAAUCUCAGAGGUUUAAUGAACACCAUGGUCACACUGCUUGGCUACAGACGAAAAUCCACUCAGACAAAGGAGCAAGUACACAAAUCGAUGAAUAGCUGUAAUUAAACAGUGGAACCCAGAAUAUAAAAUGAUGGACGUUUUCCUUAUAAUAAAAUGAUUAGGCAGAUAAAA